AAACUGUAAAAAACGAUAAAUAUAUUUUUUGGGGGUGGUUUUUUAUACCAACCCCUAAAGUGACACCUAACAAAAAAAUAUAUCUUAUUUGUUAAUAAGUUUGCUAUUACAUGUUAAAGUUACAAAGGAGUCGAAUUGGUGGAACAUAGCUUAAAAAAAAUAAAAUCAAUUAAAGCAUGUAGUUACACGAAAUAAUGUAUUAUAAAUUAAACGCCUCAGCCUGUAAUAUGCCACUACUGGGCAUAGGCCUCUUUCCCCACAUAGGUGAAGGAACAGAGCUUAAUCCACCACGCUGCUCCAAUGCGUGUUGGCGGAUAUAUUCCCUACUAUGAGUAACGAUCGCUAUCAGGUGUACAUGAUAACAACCGGGACCGACGGCUUAACGUGCUCUCCGAGGCACGAUGGGGAGACCCACUAGGACUGCACAAACACCCAGACCACGGCAAACACCUGUAUGGCCAAUACAAAUGUUUGUCAUGUACAAUCCAUGGCUGUAACCGUUGCGCCAACGCGGCGUCGUAUUAUAAAUUAAUAAUCAUACAAAAUAUGAACAUAAUUUCGGAUAACAUUAUCAUACUGAACAGUCAAUCAUCGUCACUGUUUUCUUCAAUAGUAGUCGUUAUACCAGUCGCAUCAAACAUGGAGGUCAAUAUUUCAGCUGGUUUUAUAAUUUUUGAUUUAUAACGAGCAUGUGCUAAGUAGUAAAUAACAGUGGCUACAUGAGCGCAACAGCCCGUUUGUUCUAUUCCCAUUUGCACAAUCACAAACAUAUCUUCGAAGUCCUCUGUAGGUGUUCGAAUUUGGCUCAUACUCGAUAAAGCAAUUAUAUGUUUUGCUGUCAAUAUGCCUUGAUCGUACCCUUACCUUUAUAAUAUUUUCGCAAUCUUUUAAAAAUUCAAGGUUUAAUUCGUUGUCAGUUAUUAUUUCAGCAAGAUAACAUACACUGCUUGUGAUAAUUGAUAAGUGCCAGUAAAUAAUAUUUUAAGGUCAGUUUCACUCAGUUCUGGAAAAUCCAUUAGACUAGUUGAAGAUAAUUUCGUAAAAAGUUUUCUACGCCGAUUCAAGUUUUCAUUUUUAACCAAUUCUUGCAUUGUAUUCUGCUGAUUUUGACGCUCCUUCAUAAAAGCAACAAUAGUAUCAACAAGUUCAAUAUCAGAGUUCAAUCUUUUACCAAAAGUGUUAUUUAAAAAUCCAGCUAUUCUGCACAAUGAUUUUACCAGAGGUAAAAGCUUGUUGUCCAGAACAUUAUGUAAUAAAUGGUAUUUUUUACCAAUAGCCCCAUGUACAGCUUCAACAGGCCAACGUACCUUAGUUACAAAUCGUGAUGCAUUUCCCUCUUCUACUGUUAAUUGUGCUCUUUUCCCCUUCAAAGCUGGCAUAAGUACAUGGUAAUCUCGCUCUUUUAAAAAAUCAACCACGUCACGGAAACCGCGAUCAACAAUGCAGAUGUCACCUGGUUGUAGAAGCGUUUUGAGUCCGUUAGGUUCCUCUAAUAUACUUCUUAUAACUUGACAAAACUUGUAUGAAAAUAAACAGGUCACUAAACGUUCUUUGUUACUCAACAUAAAAUAACAUUGUACCGAGUCUACAAACACGGUGUUCGAAAUUCGUGCAGUUGAAAGUCAUCAAAUCGAAUAUCAUUUAUCGUUGAUUGUUCAAAGUUUUCUUUUUUGGUAUACAUAUUUGUUGACAUUAAAAAGUUAUGAGAACGUAUUUUUGAUGGUAGAUAUAAAGAUAACGCACAAGUGUUCAUACAUUUUUUGGUAAAAAAUGAUAUAUAAGUAUAUAUGCACGUACGUAUCCGUAAUUGAUUUAUAUUUUUUAAGCUAUGUUCCACCAACUCGACCCUUUUGUAACUUUAACAUGUAAUAGCUAACUUAUUAACAAAUAAGAUAUAUUUUUUUGUUAGGUGUCACUUUAGGGGUUGGUAUAAAAAACCACCCCCAAAAAAUAUAUUUCUCGUUUUUUACAGUUUCUAAUAUUGCGAAAAUUCUAAAAAAAAUAUAUUAUAAUUAAUUUAUCGAUAGUCAUAUAUGGUUUCAAUUUCAUGAAGAUAUCUUGAAUAGGUACUGAGAAAUAAAAAUCUUUCGUUAAGGGUUGUCACCCCCAUUAUUCCCUUACUAUAGGGGUUAGGGAUGUGAGAUUAAGUGUAUG
rnacentral:misc_RNA from 1 species